CUCAGCCACUGCCACCUGCCUGGGACCCUCCCCUUGCGGAGCGAGAUGUUUGGCGGGGAGAAAUGCGGCGGGGAACCCUAGGCUGGCGGCUUUCCUCCUUCCGCAGAACCCACGGUCCUGAUCUCCGGCCGCCUCCUUCUGACCCGGGGUUCUCAAGAUCCCUACAGAGAAGCCUUUUAUAUUUGCCCUAACUUGCCCUCAGGAAUGAUCUAGUCUUCACCUGCAGCAGACCAG
rnacentral:lncRNA from 1 species